AAUUGCUAUUAAUUUUGGGCAGAGCAGGCCCUGGACCUUGGGGAGUCCUAGACGGCCGCCUAGUCUGAUUAUAGGAUAGCUUGGACGAGCCUGGGAGAGUUUGGGAGAUUGAAGAAAUUUAAAUUUUUCAAAAGAAUUUUUUAUUGAAACUUUAAAAAAUUAAAAAUUUUGAUUUUUGAUUUAGAAAUUGAUUGAAUUAUCGAGAGUCUUGAAGAACUUGAGAAAGUCUGCGAGUGCUUGGCAGAGCUUCGGACAACCUAACCUGGAACUUCCUCCCUUCAUAGAUAAAGAUAAAAUAACAGCAUUACCUCGGCUUGUCCUGGCGGAGCACCUUGUGGACGUCCACUUUCGGCAACGGAUAUCCCGUUCUCGGUGUCGUAGCUGAACGUGUUUUUCCAGUCUACACAUCAUCGGGCCGACAAAUUCGAUUAUUAUCACGUUAGCUGGCGCGUCUGUAAUGCUGUGAGAAUCACUGAAUGGACGUCCCUAUGAAUUUCAUCCUCUGGCAAUCGAUGAAAUAUUUAUACUAACCAAUGUUUUAUAAAAGAAACACAAUUUGAUGAGGAUAGUGAGAUAUCAAGAUUGAGUUUAUAGCUUAGGACGUUCGGUUUGUUGCGGAUGCGCUCUGAUGUACUCGAUAGCCUUCUGGAUCAG